AGAUGUGAGGGUGAUCUGGCUAUGACAUCUGUCACUCCAUUGAUCACCAACAUUGAUUCAGCUGAUCUGGCUGGCUAGGUGGGUGUCCCCUCCCUCCCUCACCUCCAUGUAGGUCCCUCCCCAAAGCGGUGCACUCGGUAGAAGAGGACGCCCUUCCCUGAUAGGUAAGGGCCGUUCCUUGGUCAAGGGUAUACAAGGAGCUGUGCUCCCUUACUAAAACCUCCAAACAAGCUCUCAAUUUUACUUAGCUCCUUGAACAUGACUCACUUUAUUCCUCUGAUAUUGCUAAGAGCUCAAAAGAUUCUUUUCCUAGCAAAUAGGUAGCACCUU
rnacentral:snRNA from 1 species